CAGAGGUUAGUUUAUUUAAAAUAUUAAUUUUGGAGAUUAAUGAUGGGAUUCCCACCUCUGA
rnacentral:tRNA from 1 species